rnacentral:rRNA from 1 species
GGGAAACGAUGUGGGAAGGCCCAGACAGCCAGGAUGUUGGCUUAGAAGCAGCCAUCAUUUAAAGAAAGCGUAAUAGCUCACUGGUCGAGUCGGCCUGCGCGGAAGAUGUAACGGGGCUAAACCAUGCACCGAAGCUGCGGCAGCGACACUGUGUGUUGUUGGGUAGGGGAGCGUUCUGUAAGCCUGUGAAGGUGUGUCGUGAGGCAUGCUGGAGGUAUCAGAAGUGCGAAUGCUGACAUAAGUAACGAUAAAGCGGGUGAAAAGCCCGCUCGCCGGAAGACCAAGGGUUCCUGUCCAACGUUAAUCGGGGCAGGGUGAGUCGACCCCUAAGGCGAGGCCGAAAGGCGUAGUCGAUGGGAAACGGGUUAAUAUUCCCGUACUUGGUGUUACUGCGAAGGGGGGACGGAGAAGGCUAUGUUGGCCGGGCGACGGUUGUCCCGGUUUAAGCGUGUAGGUGUGUGUUCCAGGUAAAUCCGGUUCACUUUAACACUGAGGCGUGACGACGAGGCACUACGGUGCUGAAGCAACAAAUGCCCUGCUUCCAGGAAAAGCCUCUAAGCAUCAGGUAACAUCAAAUCGUACCCCAAACCGACACAGGUGGUCAGGUAGAGAAUACCAAGGCGCUUGAGAGAACUCGGGUGAAGGAACUAGGCAAAAUGGUGCCGUAACUUCGGGAGAAGGCACGCUGACACGUAGGUGAAGUGAUUUACUCAUGGAGCUGAAGUCAGUCGAAGAUACCAGCUGGCUGCAACUGUUUAUUAAAAACACAGCACUGUGCAAACACGAAAGUGGACGUAUACGGUGUGACGCCUGCCCGGUGCCGGAAGGUUAAUUGAUGGGGUCAGCGCAAGCGAAGCUCCUGAUCGAAGCCCCGGUAAACGGCGGCCGUAACUAUAACGGUCCUAAGGUAGCGAAAUUCCUUGUCGGGUAAGUUCCGACCUGCACGAAUGGCGUAAUGAUGGCCAGGCUGUCUCCACCCGAGACUCAGUGAAAUUGAACUCGCUGUGAAGAUGCAGUGUACCCGCGGCAAGACGGAAAGACCCCGUGAACCUUUACUAUAGCUUGACACUGAACAUUGAGCCUUGAUGUGUAGGAUAGGUGGGAGGCUUUGAAGUGUGGACGCCAGUCUGCAUGGAGCCGACCUUGAAAUACCACCCUUUAAUGUUUGAUGUUCUAACGUGGACCCGUUACCCGGGUUGCGGACAGUGUCUGGUGGGUAGUUUGACUGGGGCGGUCUCCUCC